CCCUUAGACGUUCUGGGCUGCACGCGCGCUACAAUAAUACGCACAGCGAGUAUCACCGAGCUCGAAAGGGCAAGGUAAACAAUAGAAAAGGUACUGUAAUGGUUAUAGAUCCUUGUAAUUAUUGAUCUUCAACGAGGAAUUCCUAGUAAGUAUGUGUCAUCAUCACGCACUGACUACGUCCCUGCCCUUUGUACACACCGCCCGUCGCUCCUACCGAUUGGGUGAGCCGAUGAAACUCUCGGAUGUAGGCUAUUCAUAGCCCGCAGAAGAGAUUUGAAUCGUAGCGCUUAGAGGAAGGAGAAGUCGUAACA
rnacentral:rRNA from 1 species